GGUGUAGCCAAAGUCCGUAUGAAU
rnacentral:siRNA from 1 species